rnacentral:rRNA from 1 species
UACGUAGGGGGCAAGCGUUGUCCGGAAUCAUUGGGCGUAAAGAGCGCGUAGGCGGCCCUGUAAGUCCGCUGUGAAAGUCAAGGGCUCAACCCUUGGAUGCCGGUGGAUACUGCAGGGCUAGAGUCCGGAAGAGGCGAGUGGAAUUCCUGGUGUAGCGGUGAAAUGCGCAGAUAUCAAGGAGGAACACCGAUGGCGAAGGCAGCUCGCUGGGACGGUACUGACGCUCAUGCACGAAAGCGUGGGGAGCAAACAGG